rnacentral:rRNA from 1 species
UACAGAGGGUGCGAGCGUUGUCCGGAAUCACUGGGCGUAAAGGGCGCGUAGGCGGUCUCUUAAGCGUGUGGUGAAAGCCCGGGGCUCAACUCCGGGUCGGCCGUGCGAACUGGGGGACUGGAGCUUGUCAGAGGCAGGCGGAAUUCCGGGUGUAGCGGUGGAAUGCGUAGAGAUCAGGAGGAACACCGGUGGCGAAGGCGGAUCUCUGGGCCUGUUCUGACGCUGAGGCGCGAAAGCUAGGGGAGCGAACAGG